GACGAACGCUGGCGGCGUGCUUAACACAUGCAAGUCGAACGAAGAGCGAUGGAAGCUUGCUUCUAUCAAUCUUAGUGGCGAACGGGUGAGUAACGCGUAAUCAACCUGCCCUUCAGAGGGGGACAACAGUUGGAAACGACUUCUAAUACCGCAUACGAUCUAAUCUCGGCAUCGAGGAUAGAUGAAAGGUGGCCUCUACAUGUAAGCUAUCACUGAAGGAGGGGAUUGCGUCUGAUUAGCUAGUUGGAGGGGUAACGGCCCACCAAGGUGAUGAUCAGUAGCCGGUCUGAGAGGAGGAACGGCCACAUUGGGACUGAGACACGGCCCAGACUCCUACGGGAGGCAGCAGUGGGGAAUCUUCCGCAAUGGACGAAAGUCUGACGGAGCAACGCCGCGUGAGUGAUGACGGCCUUCGGGUUGUAAAGCUCUGUUAAUCGGGACGAAAGGCCUUCUUGCGAAUAGUGAGAAGGAUUGACGGUACCGGAAGAGAAAGCCACGGCUAACUACGUG
rnacentral:rRNA from 1 species